UUUUAUCACAAGACUGCGCAGGGAGGGAGAGGGCAGUUCACCAACUGCGCUGAUGCAGUAUGCUGAUGCAGCGCAGGAACUCUACAUUAUCUCAGCGCAGAAUAUAAUAGUCGUAAUGUAACGAAGGUAACCCACUAACUAGUGGUGAUCCAGGUACUUCGCAGGCCUAUAAUUUCUCACUACAUGAUCUUAGAACAUUUUAUCGAAGCAUGAAAGCAUGAUUAGGAUUUGGGAAAUGUUAUACUUUACCACUUGAGAAAAAUCACGAUUUAUAUUAUCUCUUGAAGGGAUUUGUGAAUUUGAUAUUAUGUCUUUGAAGCUGCACAACUUCUGCAUAUGUGCCUAGGGUUGAAAUAUGAAUUGACUAAGUAUACGAAGCUGCACACCUUCUGCAUAUGUGCUAAGGGCUUGGAACAUAAUUUGGAUAACAUACUUUGAGAUCAUAGUAGGAACACUAACCACAAGCAUACACAUAACAUGUUUUGUUGAAUCAUGCACAUGUUACCAAGAGGGAGGGAGUAGGGUAUAUGUUGCCUUCUGUAUUUUUCUUGAAAAUUUACAGCACAGCAACAAUGGUUGACAACGCUGGAAAACCUGCUUCGGCAGAAAAUGAGCUUUAGUGGCAAUUCAGCCACGCUACGGAGGGGAAAGCCGUAAGUGGAAUCUGGGUCUUCUCAGCGCAGUCAGGAUAUUUAUCUCAGCUACCUCUGCGCAAUUAUCUCAGCGCAGCUAUCUCAGUUAUCUUAGCUACCUCAGGGCAGCUACCUCAGCGCAGCUAUCUCAGCGCAGCUAUCAGUUACCUCAGCUACCUCAGGGCAGCUAUCUCAGCGUCAGUUAUCUCAGCGCAUACCUCAGGCAGCUAUCUCAGCGUAGUUAUCUCAGUCUCAGUCAGGUACAUUUAUCUCAGCUACCUCAGCGCAGUUAUCUCAGCGUUGUCAGGACAUCUAUCUCAGCGCAGCUAUCUCAGUUAUCUCAGUAGUUUUCAGCGCAGAAUGUCCGAGCCGUUGUCAGUUCAGAAUGUCUAUGCUCCGCGCAGGAAUAUCGUAAGCCGCGAAAGUUAGACAGGGUUCUUUGAUUGUCUAUGCUCCGCGCAGGAAUAUCGUAAGCCGCGAAAGUUAGACAGGGGUGUACCAUCUUAAGGGCCGCGUUGCGGAAGUGUACCAUCUUAAGGGCCGCGUUGCGGAAGUGUACCAUCUUAAGGGCCGCGUUGCGGAAAUGUACCAUCUUAAGGGCCGCGUCUGCGGAAAUGUACCAUCUUGCCGUGCCGGUAUGCAUCGUUAGUGUCGGAGGCAUCUUGUCAGUGCAGGUAGUGCAGCGCAGUCAGCGCGGGGUUGUCAGCGCAGUCGGUGCAGCGCAGUCAGCGCGAGGUUGUCAACGCAGAUCACUUGAGUCUUCCCAGCACAGGUUAUCUAAGCCCUUAUUAUCUUUAAUGAUGUUCGACGAAUCAAAAGGAAUAAUUGCUAUCUCUUUUAUCUCAGCUUAUUUCCAGCAUUAAAAUACUUUGUCUUUAUCAUUUUUGCAAAGAUUGACAGUUCUUGUCUAAUAAGUCGCAGGGAAUCGUGUAUGCUUAAUUGACACGGGAGAGCAGCACAGCGCUGACUUCACACCACACACCACUAGUUGAACAAAGAGAACGCUGUUCAACUAGACUAGGGGGAGUAGCUGAUGAGGACUGUAAUUCCCAUCAGCGCUGUGCUUAGCAAUCUAAGCCUAUUUUACCUUAUUAUUACUAUUAUUAUUAUUAUUAUUAUUACAGAAACUAACAGCGCAGGUACGAUCGGAUAUCUCGGAUAAAAAGAGUAAGAAAUCCAUCUAAGUAGAUGGAGUGAAGAAUGAUUGCACAUCAAACCUUCCACGUAGCCAAGGUGCCUUCCUGCGCAGCCAAGAGCUUUCCGUGCAGCCGCGCAGCCAGACCAGAGCAGCGCAGCAGAGCAGAGCAGCGUAGACCAGAGCAGCGCAGAGCAGAGCAGCGCAGACCAGAGCAGCGAGCUGCGCAGCUAGAGCAGAGCAGCGCAGACCAGAGCCGCGCAGCGCUGCGCGUAGAGCAGCGCCGCCAAAGUGCCUUUCCUCGCAGCUACGUAUGAUAGUUCAACUUCGGGAAUAAGACCAUUGUACUGAGUUUUGGGCCCAAUUGACUAGAUGAGUGGGCUUUUAGAAUUAGGGUUUGCUCACAAACUAUAAUAGCACAUCUAUUGGGAAAACUGGGAUCAUCAUUCAGCAACCACUUGUAAUAUGUACUCUCUCUCAGUAUAGUGAAACGAAGGAAGAACCUCCCGUGGACGUAGGCUUGAGGCCGAACCAGUAAAUCCGUGUGUCAUUUAUCGCUUUCUAAUUUCUAGUUUAGGUGUUGGUGAUUCCGUGCUUCACCAACUGGCGCCGUCUGUGGGAAAUUGAGCUAAGGCGUGAGAUUCAUCAUUUUUCCGGGUACUGUUCAUAGAGAGGAUUACUGUUCAUCGAAGAAAAAUGAGGGAGAUUGGGGAUUUGGGUCACUGUUCAUCGAACAAAAAAAAGGAAAAAAAAAUGAAUUGGGUUUUGGGUCUUGGUCUUUCCAGAUUCCGGCGAAGGGAGGUUUUUUGGGAGAGAUCAACUUCUUCACAAUUUUGGCUUCAUGUUUAGAGAAUUUCACACGGCCACUAUACUCGCCACAACAGUUGUCACUUUCGCCGUUUUCCGCCUUUCUCGGCGGCCCUACCAUCCGCGAACUGCAUAUCUGGACGCCGCUCCUCCGCUGCCGGCGAAUUGCCGCCCCUCUGCAGCCACGCAGAGCUCGAUCUGACCUCCUACUCCACCAUCGAUUAAAAUGGCCGCCGCCUCCCUAAGAUCCAGAAUCCCACCGCCGUGUUUCACGAGGCCCCCCAUUUAGCUGGGUUCGCACCUCACGAACAAAGUCGGGGCCGAUUGUUCUAAUUUGGGGAAAGGAGUGUCUAGGUCUCAUGGAGAACUACACAAAAGCUAAGUCUCUCUGCAUUUUCGACUAUUUCUUUGAACAUAUUUGGGAUUGGGUGAAUCUUGUGAUUCGUCCCCUCAAUCUUCGAUUAACCUAGAAUCACCUUGAAUUUGCCUCUCUUAAAUUUGAGAAAUCAUGUUUAGGUUAAGGUCUCUCCAUUGUUUCUCUGAUUUUAGGCGUAAAAAUUAUUGCUCGAUUGCAAAAAUCAUAGCCGGUCGUAGAGACCUCAAGCAAGGCACAGCGCAGCGCCGUCACGUACGUCGCCGGCCGCCUGAAGAAUCUGAAAAGCCAGCCUUCUACCUCUGUUCUCUUUCACAGAUCUGGAUCGGGUUCCUCCCUGUCGUCGGUCUUUACCCAAAAAAUAAAAGCAUCUCUUCGAUCCAAAAUCAAAGAUCAAAAUUCUCUACCUCUGACUUUACCGCCGACCAUCCUGGAUCUUUGGCAAUAUCUUCGCUUCAAGGCUGGUGAUGCCCUGCCUGGAAACGCCGCCGCCGCCGCCGCGCACUGCUGCUGCUUCUAUUUCUCAGAUCUAGACGUACCGUUCUCACCAGUUCCGCCGAGAUCGUGUCCGGGCGAAGAUGAUGCAACUCGUCAUUUUUCUCUUCCAACCCGGCUAAUGGUCGACUUUUCUUUUAUUUAGUUAAUGUCCUGCUUCUUUUCCUCUCAAGUGGGUGUUGGUUUAGCAAGGAUGCUUAAUUAGCUAUUGUGUGGGCCUUGAAUUUGAAUGAUUCGGAUCAGGAGCUAAUUGUUGGAUGCUAUGUUUCUCGUGUCCUGGUGUCGAGAUUGCUAAUUUUUUGGGGUAAUUACAGUGCUAUCCGGUCAUUAGCUAUUAUUCUACCUUAUACCUCAUUUUUGUUAUCUUGAUUCGAUGAAAUCAGUUUAUCUAACACUCUUAGAACAUGGUUUUGGGAAAUACAAUAAGACUUUGAAUCAGGGAAGAAGAUGUCUCUGAUAAUUGCUAUAUUUAAUUGCAUUCUUCAAUAUUUUCAGUCAUUAUAUCUAUUAAUUAGAUUAGUAACUUCUGAACACUAUGUGUUGGCUCUUUGUUGAUGUUUGAAGGUGUGGAGCUGUCGAUACAACUGAGGCCUAGACUUUACUAGCCGAGUCACCGUAUUAUUUCAGUUGGUUCGUUUUCUGGGGCGUUUGCAUUUUUAAGGGAUAAUGUGGCAAUGAAAGCAUCAACGCAGAAAUGUGUGUAUGAGAAUGCCAUAGCUAAGGGAAGCAGCGUUGAAAUCUGUAUGAAUAAGCUCUCCGCAGCCAAGGAAUUACAGCCCCCUCCAGCCGACCACCGAAGGGCUCCCCACGGCGGUCGAGGACAAGCUCUUCGACCACGCCACCGCUGCCAAUUCCAUCUGCGCCGAUCUCCGUUGAGGGGUUUUUCUAAUUUGAUGGGGAGAUUUUCAUUUUUGUUUAGGGAUUUCUUCAAUUAAUUUCAUAGCAAGCUUGAUUCCUUAAUGUUAUUUGUUUAUUUUUCUUAUAAUCUCUACUAAUUAUGUGCAAUUCUUGAUGCAAAGGGAUACCCAUGUUCGAAAAUCUUACAGGAGUUGAUUGAUGGAGGGAAUUGUUGGUAGAGAAAGCAGACUCCGGUGAAAUAUCGUCGAAGCAUGAUACCAGAAAGGGGCUGCUCAGCCUGCUUUGGCGAAUCGGUGGUCACCACCGUUGUGUUCUCGAGUUCCAUAAUCAGAACUUGAGUUUACCAAGCUAAUGGGCCUGAAAUUUUAAAUAGCAAUUCUCAUCUAUUGACGAGGUUCGAUUUAAUUGUUGGUGUAUGGUACGACGCAGGGAAGUGGAAGAUAAAUUGGCCAAUUUAAAGGAUGGACAUGGGAGGAUAAUUCUGAGCUGUUUGGGAAAAUGGAGAUUCAUAAUAGCUCUGAUUCAGAGUCCUGGCUUACUCAAGCUCUCGUGAAACUUUUGUCCAUGCUGACGACGCCAUGCUUUAUACGCCAGAUGCCUGGUCGAGAAUUUGGUUAGACUGCUAUGGAACUUUGCCUAGCAGGCUGUCAUUGUAUCGGUUCGCCCAAGCCUUCUUCCAAUGGCUGUCAGGGAUUUCUUUGUGGAGUAAUCUGGUGAGAAUGACAGCUCUGCGUGCAGCCGCUCAAAGUAUUCAGCCCGGGUCUCCCAGACUGAAGCAUGCAGGACCUUACCACACUAUUCCGGGAUAUGUUCUUAUUUCUUAGAGAUAUGGUUUUAUAUCUCAGUUAUGGCAUUGUUAUAAAAUAUUUCGCAAGUAAUAGUGGCAGUCGCGACAUAACAUUGGAACGACAGUGCUGUCAAGUCUCCUCAGGUCCAUGUUCAAGGGGUAGUCAUGUUGAUAAUGGGCAACCAUACGAAGAAGCUAAGUUCUUUAUUUUCUCAAUAUUGCAUUGAAUUUGGGUGAAUUAGCCAUACUCCCUCUGCUGCUAUUUCUAUCUAAGUGAUGGUUUAAUGUUAGUUUAAUAGGCUGGGUUGGGGCAUAAUGUAGUUCAAAAUGCAUUUGUGUAGAGAGGCUCGCACUAGAUUUAAUUUCCUAUGAAGUUGAACUUGAUUACGUUCGAACUCCACUUUUUUAAAUCUAAAUUUGCGGAUUAAAUAUUAAAUCUGACUAUUUUUUGAUCUGUCUACAUCCUGCUGGGAUAGAGUGGUUAAGCCCCUAAGCUCCGAUUUCUUUUGUGAAAUUCAAUAAUCAUUAGAUGUUUAAAUAAAUCUUUGGUGAUAUUGUAGUAAUGAUUUCAUGCUAAUAUAACUUACGAUUAUCCACCGGAUAGUGCAUCUGAACUUUAAUGACUGCAUUGGGGUUUGUUUUUAUUUUGAUCAAAUGAUCUGUUUUCAAAGUAUAAUUCUAGCUACUAUGACUUAACUGAUUCUAAGAAGGUGAACUGUUUAGUUGUGAUAAGCAUAGAAAAAUAAAUGCAUAGAGAUAUAUUUACAUGAUCAAAGUUUUGGGUUAAUCUUUGCAACGAGUUAUUAUGGGGCAUUUAAAUUAACUCCUUAUGAUUUGGUUCUGAUGUUCGUGGGGCCUUAUUUGAAUUUUGGUGAUUGAAUUUGAGUUUAUUGGUUGGUUACGAUGAUUUACACCUUGCGACAAUACUAUGAUUUUGCUUUGGUUUUGGGAUUGAUUUUGUGGGAUUCGGACCAUCAAGACUAAUCAAUUACUCUAAUGUUUUACAGCACAGGAAGUACAUGAAUUAUAAUAAAUUAUUCCAACACCUGAGUCCCAGGAAGCUCGCCUGCUAUUCCGGAGUAAUUUCUUAUUUUCAGGGCAUAAAGUUCUUGGGGUAUCAAGCUCGCUGCAGCGCUGAUGCAACGUAGGGAGGGAGAGGGCAGUUCAUCACCUUGCCACUGUGCUGAUGCAGCAUCGCAUCAAGAACGUCAUGGCUAUCCGAAAAUUUCAGCGCAGCCAGCUCUGGUUAUCCUUCCCCUCUGGUAGCUGCGCAGCCAGCUCUGGUUCUCUUUCUCCUCUGGUAGCUGCGCAGCCAGCCUACAUGGAACAUGUAGGAAUUGGGAAGUGACUAGAGAAAGAAACAUCAUUCCUUUGAACGUCCGAUAUGAUUGGAAGACCUACAGGUACUUCGCAGAACUGAAAUUUCUCACUACAUGAUGUUAGGUUACUUCACCGAAGCAUGUAAAAUAUGAUCUUAAGUUAUUUCAUCGAAGCAUGAAAACAUGAUUAGGAUUUGGAAAAUGUUAUACUUUACCACUUGAGAAAAAUCACGAUUUAUAUUAUCUCUUGAAGGGAUUUGUGAAUUUGAUAUUAUGUCUUUGAAGCUGCACAACUUCUGCAUAUGUGCCUAGGGUUGAAAUAUGAAUUGACUAAGUAUACGAAGCUGCACACCUUCUGCAUAUGUGCUAGGGCUUGGAACAUAAUUUGGAUAACAUACUUUGGGACCAUAGAGUCAUACUAGCCCUGUCACUAGCAUCACAAGUAGGAACACCAAUCACAAGCAUACACAUAACAUGUUUUGUUGAAUCAUGCACAUGUUACUAAGAGGGAGGGAGUAGGGUAUAUGUUGCCAUCUGUAUUUUUCUUGAAAAUUUACAGCACAUCAGUAAUGGUUAACAAUGCUGGAAAACCUGCUUCGGCAGAAAAUGAGCUUUAGUGGCAAUUCAGCCACGCUUCGGAGGGGAAAGCCUUAAG
rnacentral:lncRNA from 1 species